rnacentral:rRNA from 1 species
UGGGGAAUAUUGCACAAUGGACGGAAGUCUGAUGCAGCAACGCCGCGUGCGGGAUGACGGCCUUCGGGUUGUAAACCGCUUUUUCUCAUGACGACGUUUUUUGACGGUAGUGGGGGAAGAAGCACCGGCUAACUACGUGCCAGCAGCCGCGGUGAUACGUAGGGUGCGAGCGUUGUCCGGAAUUAUUGGGCGUAAAGAGGUUGUAGGCGGUUUGUCGCGUCGAUAGUGCAAACUCAGUGCUUAACGCUGAGCCUGCUGUUGAUACGGGCAGACUAGAGGAAGGUAGGGGAGAAUGGAAUUCCCGGUGGAGCGGUGGAAUGCGCAGAUAUCGGGAGGAACACCGGUGGCGAAGGCGGUUCUCUGGGCCUUUCCUGACGCUGAGAAGCGAAAGCGUGGGGAGCGAACAGG